GGGACCGUACUUCUAAGGAUCAGUUCUAUAGUACGUAUCACCAAGACAUCAAACAAACAUGAAGUUAUUUUAUUCCUAGACUUGAAUAACUUUUAAAACUUCAUGUUGUCUUUGAAAGUU
rnacentral:snoRNA from 1 species